rnacentral:rRNA from 1 species
UACGUAGGGUGCAAGCGUUAAUCGGAAUUACUGGGCGUAAAGCGUGCGCAGGCGGUUAUGUAAGACAGGUGGGAAAUCCCCGGGCUUAACCUGGGAACUGCAUUUGUGACUGCAUCGCUGGAGUGCGGCAGAGGGGGAUGGAAUUCCGCGUGUAGCAGUGAAAUGCGUAGAUAUGCGGAGGAACACCGAUGGCGAAGGCAAUCCCCUGGGCCUGCACUGACGCUCAUGCACGAAAGCGUGGGGAGCGAACAGG